CCUGACUCUGGGAUAAGCGCUGGAAACGGCGUCUAAUACUGGAUACGAGACGUGGCCGCAUGGUCAACGUUUGGAAAGAUUUUUCGGUUGGGGAUGGGCUCGCGGCCUAUCAGCUUGUUGGUGAGGUAAUGGCUCACCAAGGCGUCGACGGGUAGCCGGCCUGAGAGGGUGACCGGCCACACUGGGACUGAGACACGGCCCAGACUCCUACGGGAGGCAGCAGUGGGGAAUAUUGCACAAUGGGCGGAAGCCUGAUGCAGCAACGCCGCGUGAGGGAUGACGGCCUUCGGGUUGUAAACCUCUUUUAGCAGGGAAGAAGCGAAAGUGACGGUACCUGCAGAAAAAGCGCCGGCUAACUACGUGCCAGCAGCCGCGGUAAUACGUAGGGCGCAAGCGUUAUCCGGAAUUAUUGGGCGUAAAGAGCUCGUAGGCGGUUUGUCGCGUCUGCUGUGAAAUCUGGGGGCUCAACCCCCAGCCUGCAGUGGGUACGGGCAGACUAGAGUGCGGUAGGGGAGAUUGGAAUUCCUGGUGUAGCGGUGGAAUGCGCAGAUAUCAGGAGGAACACCGAUGGCGAAGGCAGAUCUCUGGGCCGUAACUGACGCUGAGGAGCGAAAGGGUGGGGAGCAAACAGGCUUAGAUACCCUGGUAGUCCACCCCGUAAACGUUGGGAACUAGUUGUGGGGUCCAUUCCACGGAUUCCGUGACGCAGCUAACGCAUUAAGUUCCCCGCCUGGGGAGUACGGCCGCAAGGCUAAAACUCAAAGGAAUUGACGGGGACCCGCACAAGCGGCGGAGCAUGCGGAUUAAUUCGAUGCAACGCGAAGAACCUUACCAAGGCUUGACAUAUACGAGAACGGGCCAGAAAUGGUCAACUCUUUGGACACUCGUAAACAGGUGGUGCAUGGUUGUCGUCAGCUCGUGUCGUGAGAUGUUGGGUUAAGUCCCGCAACGAGCGCAACCCUCGUUCUAUGUUGCCAGCACGUAAUGGUGGGAACUCAUGGGAUACUGCCGGGGUCAACUCGGAGGAAGGUGGGGAUGACGUCAAAUCAUCAUGCCCCUUAUGUCUUGGGCUUCACGCAUGCUACAAUGGCCGGUACAAAGGGCUGCAAUACCGCGAGGUGGAGCGAAUCCCAAAAAGCCGGUCCCAGUUCGGAUUGAGGUCUGCAACUCGACCUCAUGAAGUCGGAGUC
rnacentral:rRNA from 1 species